UCGGAUAUGGUGCAAAGGAUAGCGCGGGCUCGUGAAAUCUCCCAUGGGCGGGAUGAGAGAGUCAGAUCGAGGUUCGAUUCCUCGUGUCCGUG